rnacentral:rRNA from 1 species
UACGUAGGGUGCAAGCGUUGUCCGGAAUUAUUGGGCGUAAAGAGCUUGUAGGCGGUCGGUCGCGUCUGCUGUGAAAAUCCGGGGCUCAACCCCGGACUUGCAGUGGGUACGGGCAGACUAGAGUGUGGUAGGGGAGACUGGAAUUCCUGGUGUAGCGGUGAAAUGCGCAGAUAUCAGGAGGAACACCGAUGGCGAAGGCAGGUCUCUGGGCCACUACUGACGCUGAGAAGCGAAAGCAUGGGGAGCGAACAGG